rnacentral:rRNA from 1 species
CCUACGGGGGGCAGCAGUAGGGAAUAUUGCUCAAUGGGGGAAACCCUGAAGCAGCAACGCCGCGUGGAGGAUGAAGGUUUUCGGAUUGUAAACUCCUUUUGUUAGAGAAGAUAAUGACGGUAUCUAACGAAUAAGCACCGGCUAACUCCGUGCCAGCAGCCGCGGUAAUACGGAGGGUGCAAGCGUUACUCGGAAUCAUUGGGCGUAAAGAGCGCGUAGGCGGGAUAGCAAGUCAGAUGUGAAAGCCUAGGGCUUAACCAUAGAACUGCAUUUGAAACUGUUAUUCUAGAGUAUGGGAGAGGUAGGUGGAAUUCUUGGUGUAGGGGUAAAAUCCGUAGAGAUCAAGAGGAAUACUCAUGGCGAAGGCGACCUGCUAGAACAUAACUGACGCUGAGGCGCGAAAGCGUGGGGAGCAAACAGGAUUAGAUACCCCUGUAGUC